rnacentral:rRNA from 1 species
UACGGAAGGCAGCAGUGGGGAAUAUUGCACAAUGGGCGAAAGCCUGAUGCAGCUAUGCCGCGUGUAUGAAGAAGGCCUUAGGGUUGUAAAGUACUUUCAUCGGGGAGGAAAAACAAAACUAAUAAUUUUAUUUCUUGACGUUACCCGAAAAAGAAGCACCGGCUAACUCCGUGCCAGCAGCCGCGGUAAUACGGAGGGUGCUAGCGUUAAUCAGAAUUACUGGGCGUAAAGAGCACGUAGGUGGUUUUUUUAAGUCAGAUGUGAAAUCCCUGGGCUUAACCUAGGAACUGCAUUUUGAAACUGAAAUACUAGAGUAUCGUAGAGGGAGGUAGAAUUCUAGGUGUAGCGGUGAAAUGCGUAGAUAUCUGGAGGAAUACCUGUGGCGAAAGCGGCCUCCUAAACGAAUACUGACACUGAGGUGCGAAAGCGUGGGGAACAAACAGGGAUUAGAUACC